rnacentral:tRNA from 1 species
UUCAAAGUAGGUUAAGUUUAGAGACUGCAGGUCUCAUAAGCCUGAGGUGCCGAAAUAGCCUUUGGAA